rnacentral:lncRNA from 1 species
UAAUGUAUUUUCUAAAUUUUAAAAAUAUUAAAAAGGUAAUUAAAUUCAUGAUUGUUAGUUUGUUUUCGUGCAUGCAAUGAACAUUAUUUAACGAUCAUAUUUUGUCGAGUGUCUAAUGGAUUUUGAGUGUUUUGUCUUCGAAUUUUGUGUGGAUAGAAAAGCGCAUGCUUAAUUUAAGUCAGAGAAAAUGGAAUAAAUUGUUUUGAAUGGUAUGCCAUGUGUGUGGGCUGCGCCUUCGACCUCAUCUUUGGGCAAUGGACUAGAGGGUUAUCCAAUUGGGCCUUAGUCUGAAAAGGUAACCCGAUGGCCCAAUCCAGGUAUGUGGGCCCUUGAUGUGUUGAGUUGAGGUACAGAUCCCCCACUAGUGGACCCUUGUUGUGUCCGGUUUAGUUUAACGGAUCUCCAUCAGGUCUGGGUUGGGUUGAUGGGUCCAAAUGAAACGAGUUUGAUUAUUGGACCCCCACCAGGUCAACAUUAGGUGUUGGGCUUUGUUGGGCUAGGGGUAGCCAAUGGACCUCAACUGGUAUGGGUUGUUUAAUGGACCCCGGUUUGAUACCAGCUCAAUGGUAGGAAUUUAGUAAUUCAGAAUGGUCGAGAAACGAGUAAGUAUUAAGAUUUAAGGAUGGGCCCUAUGGAUCAAAAUUAAUGAUCUAAAUUGUAAAUUUGAUUGUGAUUUUGAAUCGAUAAGAAAAGUGAAAAGAUUAAAAUAUGUUUAACCGUUGUCAUUAAGGGGUAAUCGGAUAUGAUUGCUAUCGACUAUUGGUGAAUCGCUUCCUAUGAAUGGUACUAGUGUUCUCUCUGAAAAGAGUGGAUCACAACUAAUUGUAAGGGCCACAAUGGCUAAAUACGGUCGUGGUAAUAGUUUUCAACUACUUUACCAUAUAUCGAAGUGAACUGUUUUUCAUUCAUAGCAGUAGUUGGGGAUCCUUUUGCCUUCUAUUGAUAUAAGUUAAAGUAGUUUCUUGCGAAGAUUUGUAAAAUCGAUAAUUCAAUCAAACCGUUUGAUUAUCCAGUUAGGACUGUUAAUUGAUUAUCCAUGCUUAGAUUGUUUAUAAAUUUGAAUUUGUUUCUCACUGUUCUAUUAUGUCAUGUCAUGUUAUUGUUGGUUCUACUGGUUUCUGCUAUAUUUUUCACUGUUCCAUUUUAUUACUUAUGGUUGAAACUGGUAUUAAAAAUAUAUCUUGAUUAAUUAAAAAUAGACAUUUUUGACGAUAUUUUAAAUGAAUUUAUUCUGAGAUGAUCCCCCAAUGGUAAGGUCAUUGAUUGUAAAGGUAACGACAUGUUUUAAAAAUAGAUAACCUUUGAAACUUUAGUAGCAUAGUUUAAAUACUAUUUUUCUUAUUGAGUUUUGUGGAAGUCACCUCAAUUCAUUUUCCCUAAAUGGUGAGAAAAGUGAAGAAUCACUCCCUGAGCUGCCUUUUGAAGCUUGUUUGGAUCCAUUCGCGGAUCUGUAGUGGACAUUUGAGUGCAUGUGAAUGAGUGUACUCUUAUGAAUAAUUAUCUUGUAAUUAAAGAAAUUGCUAGAACAAGUGUUAUAUAUAUAUAUAUAUUGUCAGCCAACUUCUUGGCUUCAAAUGUAUUUGAACAUUAAAUUUUUAUAAGGGAUGACUUUUCUUCCACUGUAUGAUCUUUUUAUACACUCAUAUUUGUUCUAUUAUCAGACAACAUUGCCCCAUCAGGUACUGGGAUGUCACACAAUAGACUCAAGUUAAUCUCAACUUUGUAUUAC